rnacentral:tRNA from 1 species
GCGGGAUUAGUUCAGCGGUAGAACAGCAGCUUUCCACGCUCCGUGUCGCUGGUUCGAAUCCGGUAUCCCGCUCCA